rnacentral:rRNA from 1 species
UACGAAGGGGGCUAGCGUUGUUCGGAAUUACUGGGCGUAAAGCGCGCGCAGGCGGUCUUCCAAGUCAGUGGUGAAAGCCCGGAGCUCAACUCCGGAACUGCCAUUGAAACUGUAAGACUUGAGGAUGAGAGAGGUGAGUGGAAUUCCCAGUGUAGAGGUGAAAUUCGUAGAUAUUGGGAAGAACACCGGUGGCGAAGGCGGCUAUCUGGCCCGUAAUUGACGCUGAGGCGCGAAAGCGUGGGGAGCAAACAGG